UAUUUUGAUGUUAGACAGAUAUGGCCAUUUCCCUCUGCUCUUCUUUCUGAUUUCUUAUGAAGGGCUCCGUGAUAUUUCAGGGAGGUUUAAAACUGCAUAGAUAUAAGUGCUGUGAAACAGAGUAAAUGGUGAAAUAGCGUUCAGCGAUGGGCACAGCCUCGGGCUGCGUGUUGGGAGCAAGGCGCUGCUUCCUCCUGUCGUGCCGAAGAUGACUCCGCCAGCCCGCAGACUAAGGAGCACAGCACGAUGAGAGAAAUAAGAAAAAUUACAUCACUUGCAAGAAGGGCACUGUUGAUAAACAGAACCAAGUAUUAAUGUUGCUGAAGAAUGAGUGAAUUUCAGCCUUCCUUACAAAAUGCUACACCAGACUUCUUCAACAGGUCUUGGAAUGGAAAGCAUCAUUACCAGGUGAUCAGUGCUGCAGAGACAAUCAUCCUUCCCUCUCUGAUUGGAAUUAUCUGUUCAACAGGCUUAGUUGGAAAUAUCCUCAUUGUGUUCACAAUAAUAAGAACUCAGAAGAAAACUAUCCCAGAUAUCUACAUCUGCAAUCUGGCUAUAGCAGAUUUGGUUCAUAUCAUCGGCAUGCCCUUCCUCAUUCACCAAUGGGCAUGUGGAGGCGAGUGGGUGUUUGGCAGCCUUCUUUGUACCAUCAUUACCUCCCUGGACACAUGCAACCAGUUUACAUGCAGUGCCGUUAUGACUGCAAUGAGUUUGGACAGACUGUCAUCUUGGCUUUCAUGAUCAUACCAUGUACUUUUGGUGAUGGCUGAUUUCAUAGACCUUCCUCCAAGCAGCAUUGUAACAGCAAGCUUGGCAGAAAGGCAAAGAGAAGUUCAGUAAUAGGUACAGGUAACAGGUACCAUGUACCUGGCACCUUGCACAUUUCUGGAGCUCUGCAGGCUCCAUCACUGCCUCCUUGUCCAGCUCUCUGCAUCAGAGACACAGCCCAGACACUCCUGUUAUUGUUUGUUUCAGGUGAGUGCUCUUCAGACUAUUCUGAACGAAAGACCUUUUUAUUACUGAUAAUUACUUUGGCAGAUGAGGGCCUAUGUCUGCCUUUAAACUCCACUGUCUGUUUGAUGCAGAAAUUACCCUUAUUUUCAAAACAGUAUUUUUUCCCAAAUGCACCUUUCAUAUUUUAUUUCACAAAUCUAUAAUCAGACAAUAGGCAAGAUUGAGAAUUACCUCUAAACUGAAGCAGCCAAUAAGAAACCUACCACUGCAAAAGAGUGGAGACAAAAGCUGCUUGUGUUUGGGGUGAUAUUUAUUUCUUAUUGUUUGUGGAAGACUAAGGUAUUUCUCUGCAUGAGUCAGAAUACUGACAGGCUGGAAAAAGUUUGAAUUCUAUCAAGAAAAAGAAUCAUUUACAUUUACAUUUACCCUUAUAUUUACCUUUACCCUUGAAUUUGUGAUGGUGUUUUCAUUCCAUUCUGUCUAAUUAUUUUCUUUUCAUCUUUAAGGUCAUUAAAUAACUAUUUUUUCUUUUGCUCUGAUGAAUACUAAUGAUAAGAAUUAGAAACCCAGGGAAAGACUACCUCUUUAUAGUCACAUAUUGGUAUAUUAAAAUGUACUGCAAAAUAAUUGAUCCAGAAAAUAUGAAAAGUCAUUUUACAAUAUGUAGGGAAAUACAAGUAUAUACAGACCAGAUUUUAGUACCCUCACCUGCAUCAUUAGUAAACUGCCUUUUACUUUUGUGAGAAUCCUAUGAAAACUCAACUGUAUACCCAAGAAGAUGAUGUCCACCCAGAAUAAGGAACCGGAGCCAACGGACACGUAGGCAGUGGCAAGCACCUCUCAAACCUGAAGACAUGGAUUCAGCACCUAUCCCAGGCCAAGAGGGUUCCUUUCCACGUGCCCUUUCUUUCCCUUAAUGGUCUUCAAUGGCCCAAAAUGCAGUUAGUUUUCUUACUAACUUCAUUAGUUGAACUACUAGACUGCAGCCACGUUGAUCAACAUGAGAUGCAUUCACUGCUGGCAUGUUCUGCGCUGCGCUGUGCCCUGAUCCUUUGAGUAAAGGCAAUACCUUCUAUUAAGCCACAUGUCGCACGGUGCCUUAAGCACAGCAGUCUUUUGCAUUGCUAACAGCUCUCUCUGAAACUCUGUAGCCCGCUUUCCACUGGCAGCUCUGCACCCAGUCAUCCAAGCUGCCGCGGCAGCCUUUCCCAGAGCCUCUGAGGCAGCCCUUUUGCCUUGUUCCCACGCUGUGGAUCUUGCAGUUAUCCUCCCGGCCGUGCACCUGCAAACCCAAUGGCAUUGUUAUGGUGGGUUUUCAUGGGAAGCGACUGCCACCAGCGUGAGAAUCCUCCCUUCUUCCCCCCUUUUCCUACCCCAUGGUCAAAACUUCUGGUUGAUAUUAGUGGACCCAAAAUAUGCAUGCCCCAAGCUUAACAGCAAGGCAGCAUGCAAUCUCAGCAGAGUGUGCUCCCAGCAGCACCAACAGCAUCAUAGACAGGAGCAACUGAUAAAAAGUGGGUCCUGAUAAAAAGUAUAUUGAUACUGUGGAAAAAACAUUAUGAGGAGAACCACCCACUGGAGAAGAUGCCCAAGAUGGAUAUUUGUCUGGAGAUCCCCCAUUGUUUCUCUUCCCAUUUGGCCACUGGCAAAAGUUUUCCCUUUCCACCCUCUCUCCUUUAAUUUUUAUCUUCCCUAAAAGUAACUAUAGGCCAUCAUCUACAAACCCUGCUAAUAAAUCCCGAUACAUAUUUGUUCACCUACCUCAAAAAUCUUUGUGCAAUACACAGUUCUUAAUGAAAGAACAAAUAACCAAUAUUUUUGUGGUUAGGUGCACUGUGAGUUCAAGCAGAGUGAAACAAAACGGAAACCUCACUGAAACCUUCCUGCUAAGAGGUAAAAAGAUAUGAAGGCAUUAAGGAACUUCUGUAUCAUCCAGCUGAACACACCAGCUGAAGUUCAGUCACCCAUGAAUGGCAAGUAGUAGGCAUGUCUCCGAGGUGAUUGAUGGGUUGUAAUAUGGUGUCCUGUCAUCUUUCAUGCAGCUAUCAGGAAGAGGGGGCCUGGUUAGGUGUAAUUGUUACUCCACAUCAGCUAGUAAUGCCACUUCUCUGUGCAUGAAACCCCAUAUGUCCUAUCUCCAUCCUACACACUUUUAUUUUUCAUAAGUACUUCAUUUAAUUCACAGUUUAUUCACUAAUGGUUUUUGUAUUGUGCACUGAAAUUUCUUCAUUAUUGAUAUUUGGAAAUAUCUCCAUUGCUGAUUUUAAAAAAGGGCUGUAUUCUUCCCCUAUUUUGUCUGGAGAUGCUGUUUGCUGCUCUUGAAAAAUGAAAGCAAGCUCAAAGCAUACAUAGUAUGCCAUGCUUAUAUGGAGACUAAGAGGUCAAAUUUUGUGCAAAGCAGGACUAAUCACAAGUUUUAAAAACCUUAUAAGCCUGUAAAUUACCGUCAAUUACACUGAUCCUGUAAGCAGUAUCUGUGUCAGAAGCUAUUUCUAUGAGGCAACCAGUGAAACAGGAGAGUUGGUGUGCCAAGAAUGCUACAAAUCAGUUCUUACAUUGCUGAUGCAGAGGAUUUCUGAGUUCUUUCUUAGUAGCUUGUAGGUAAGAGGUAGGAUUCUUUUUUUUGGUGGUGGUGGUUUUGUUGUUGUUUGUGGGUGUUGUGUUUUUUUGUUUUGUUUUGUUUUCUGUAGUUACAGAACUACAGUAAAACCAAGAUGUUCUUUAUCACCAUCAUGACUGAGAAUAACAGCAUGAAGUUAGACAUCGUUUUUUAAGACGCCAUCCAGUAGAAAUGCCUUUUGCUGAUUCAACCUAUAAUGGUCAUUACUUUAACCUUAUUUACUGAAAAGAACUUGGUUGUUCCACGGCUUGAAUAAUGAAAAAAACUAUAUUUCAUACUCAUAUUCAACCAGGAGUGAAAAUAAAUUCUUAUCACAAGAAAUAUGAAUUUUUCUUAACCUUAUGCAGUGGUUCUUAACCUUCAUUGGCCCAAGAGCAAUAAUACCAAGCAACUGAGGUUUACACCUCUUUUUCUUUCAUGAAAUACUUUUAAUAAGGUAUGAUGUUAUUAUACUGAGUUUUAGUUGUUCAAUUGUGUAAUGGUUUCAAUUGUUAUUGACUGUCUCUUGCAGGCUUUUAUUGUGUUUAGGUUGUAUUUUUUUCUGGAUUUUUCUCACUUGAUCUGUGAACAAGAUAAGUAGUUCUUCUGUCUUUCAGUCUUUCUGAAAGAAAUGGUCUUUCAUUGGCUGUGUUACUACCUAUUUGUUUCAGAACACCAAAAAUAUUAGAUUCUGGAGAAAAAAAAAAAAGAAAGAAAAAAAAAAAAGUAUUCUGCAAGAAAGUUGUACCUUCCAAAUCUUCUUAAAGAGCAGAACAUGAGUGCUGUGGGAUUCCAUGUGCAGACAAUAACACUUUAGAACAAGUGUGCGUUCUUAGGCAGUGCCUGAAACCACAUUAACAUUCCUAUUACACUAGCUUUGACUGUUUUGUUUGUUGGACAGUCAAUUUAUUCUGCUCUACAAGCACUAAAAAUCAAUGAAAAACCACCAGUAUUUAAAUAUUUUUCAGAUUCAUGCCUUCAUCUUGUAGAAAAUUUAAAUACUCUGCCAUAAAGGGAAAUGGGAUAAAAUUUGGUAGAGAAACUGAAUCACCAAUCACUAAGAAAACAAUUUCCAAGUAUUGUUUAGAUUCCUGAUCAUUUGCCUUUCUCAUAACAGCUAGUAAAUCACUCAUUUUCAGUUACUUUCAGAAAAUUACCAUUUCAAAAGAAUUCUGUGACUAUGAUUCAGAGCUUUCAGUCAUUUUAAAAGAAACUGAGCUGAUCUACCUCCCACAAGAGAGCCGUGUUUCAUUGCCACUAUGUAAAACUCUUCUGGUCUUAUGCAUGUAAAAAGGAUUGUGAUAUAGUUGAAAAGGAGAUAAUGAAAUUUUUGAUUCAUUUUGUAGAGGCUCAUCAUAAAAUAUUUUCUACCAUAAAAUAUUUUCUACCGAAAAGAAUGCCCCAAAUCUUCCUCUCCCCUUUUCUGUGUAAAACUUUGACAUCCAGGAGCUUUCUUUCAUUUAGCUGCAUUGCUUUUUAUUAACUGAAGAAUUAUGAAUCAAUAAUGGGAUGAAAUGAGCUUUCUUCAUAAAUUGUGUCUCCCCCAUUUCUCUUUGAUGCUUUUGUUCCUUACCACCCACCAACUCCUCUUGGCAGAGGUCGGGUUCUUCUGCCUGCACUUUCCCUGUUGCAGGGGGUGACCUGGUGGAUAUGGGGCUGAGAUGCAGCUGUCAGCUUCCAGUCACCCAUGGUCUGAGUGGUGAUGGGUAGAGAUGCCAUUAGCAGCGCUAGCAGUACACCUCUCAUCACAUAUCAGGUGAGACCAUAACUGAUCUUAUCCCUAAGCUGGCAGCAAUGUGACAAGAAUCAGCUCUUUGCUGGAGUCUCCUCCAUGAAACCCUGCUGAUGAGAGCCAUAUCCAUGGCAGUUCAAAUAUGCAGCACCAAAGUGAGGUCAGUUUGUGCUGGGUUCUGGGAAUCUCCUGUGAUUAUAUCACCUCAAAGGCAUUUCAGAACAAUUCUGUACUUCUCCCCUCAUGUUGCUUUGUGGAGUUCCAUGAGCUUGAGAGCUACAAAGCAGUAACAAGACUCAGAGCAAUGGAAAUUUUCAGCCUCUGUUACACACUCUCUGUACCCAGUACCUUCUGAACAGGCCUACAGCUGGACCCAGCAUCACAGAUUCUGCAUGUGCAAAAGAUGGAAAGAGAAAGGAAAAAAAAAUCAUUGUUAUGUUUCUUUACUUCUGCUGAAUUUAUUCUAAAGUGGUCUGACACUAUUCUUUCCAAAACAAGUUGUUAAUCUGUGCAUCAGUCAUGUUAGUCGUGCACUCUGAUGUCAUCUGGAAAUGGUGUACCAAAUGCAGGGAAGUUCACACAAACCUUGUCCACUCCUGC